rnacentral:rRNA from 1 species
GGCUGAAAUUCGCCUUCAUGAAGCCGGAAUUGCUGUAAUGGCAGGUCAGCAUACUGCCGUGAAUACGUUCCCGGGCCUUGUACACACCGCCCGUCACACCAUGAGAGUUGGAAAUACCCGAAGCCUGUGAGCUAACCGUAAGGAGGCAGCAGUCGAAGGUAGAGUCAAUGAUUGGGGUGAAGUCGUAACAAGGUAUC